rnacentral:tRNA from 1 species
GGAGAUUUAGCUCAGCGGCAUAGCACCUGCCUGGCAAGCAUGAGGUCCUGAGUUUAAUCCUCAGUACCA